rnacentral:misc_RNA from 1 species
AACUUUUGACAAUGGAUCUCUUGGUUCCGGCAUCGAUGAAGAACGCAGCGAAAUGCGAUAAGUAAUGCGAAUUGCAGAAUUCCAGUGAGUCAUCGAAUCUUUGAACGCACAUUGCGCCCUUUGGUAUUCCGAAGGGCAUGCCUGUUCGAGCGUCAUUAUCACCCCUCAAGCCCCGUGCUUGGUGUUGGACGGCCGGUCGAGCGAUCGACCCCUCCUAAAGACAAUGACGGCGGCCUGCGGUUCCCCCGGUACACUGAGCUUUUAACCGAGCACGUAUCGGACCAGGGCACCCGGGACCCGGUCCUCUCCUUUAACUAGGAAACUUCUAAGGUUGACCUCGGAUCAGGUAGGAAUACGCGCUGAACUUAAGCAUAUCAAUAAGCGGAGGCU